GACGAACGCUGGCGGCGUGCUUAACACAUGCAAGUCGAACGGAAAGGCCUGCUUUCCCUUGUGGAUUGCGGGUACUCGAGUGGCUAACGGGUGAGUAACACGUGAGUGAUCUGCCCCCAACUUGGGUAUAAGCCUGGGAAACUGGGUCUAAUUCCCGAUAGGACUGCAGGGUGGUGCCUGUGGUGGAAAACGAUUUUCUAGUGGUUGGGGAUGAGCUCGCGGCCUAUCAGCUUGUUGGUGGGGUAAUGGCCUACCAAGGCGGCGACGGGUAGCCGGCCUGAGAGGGUGGACGGCCACAUUGGGACUGAGAUACGGCCCAGACUCCUACGGGAGGCAGCAGUGGGGAAUAUUGCACAAUGGGCGGAAGCCUGAUGCAGCGACGCCGCGUGGGGGAUGACGGCCUUCGGGUUGUAAACUCCUUUCGACCGCGAGGAAGCCACCUGGUUGGAAGGGUGGUGACGGUAGUGGUAGAAGAAGCACCGGCUAACUACGUG
rnacentral:rRNA from 1 species